rnacentral:tRNA from 1 species
GGGGUUGCAGUUCAGUGGUAGAGUGCUUGUCUUGCAUGCAUGAGGCCCUGGGUUUGGUUCCCAGCACCACA